GCCUCCUUCACUGCUGGGUGGAACUCGGGGCGCCCAGGAGCCGCCUCCUCAGGGCUGGCUCAUUUGAUGUCCCAGGCUGAGCUGCACACUAGGGGGAUGAGGUGACCGGUGGGCACCCAUCUCAGACACCCGGCUUCCCAGGUCCCGCGGCCCUCCCCUGGGGGCCCUGGCCAGCAGUUCACCAAGGCAGCAGCCCCGGGUGUGAGCAGGGGGUGACAGGGAUGGGGCUCCACAUCCUCCCGGCUCUGCUUCUGGGAUUCCCCCGGCUCCUGUCCACGGGCACGGCCUCCUGAGAGCCGCGUGGGGCGGGCAGGCAGCAUGGCCUCCUGGUGACCCACAUGCCCCCUCCUCACUGGGGCCGGGGAGCAGCCCCCACAGCCAGGAGGAGCAGGCCCUGGACCACAUGCCACAAGCUGGGGCCUGGCUCUGGCUGUGUGAGGUGUCUGUGACCUCAGGCAGAGCCUAUGCCAGCCUGGGCCUGUCUCCACCGGCAAGAGCUAUGCGGCAGGUCAGGGAGGCCGGGCCAGGGCCUCAGGUUGGCCUCCCUGUCAUCUGCCCUUCUAGGGACGUAGGCUGCUGCAUGGGAGAGCCAGCCUGGCCAGGCCCUGGGACUCAGCUCCACUGUCUCAGCUGACCUGGCGACCUGGCAGGUCAUAGGGGGGCGCUUGCCUCAGCUUCUGACUCUCGAGCAAUUCUGUUCUGCCUGAGCCCAUCAGCCCCAGAUCCCAGGGUGGGGCCGUCCCAAGGAUCUGCUCUCUUCCUCCCAUAGGUCUCCCGUCCUGUCCUCCGGGGCCAAGCCCCCACCUCCCUGCUCCUGUCCCUGGUCCCUCUGUUGCCCCCAUCCCCAGAAAGUCACCCAGGGCCUGCCUAUACUUGCCUUCACCUGAGGGAGCUGCCAGCCCUGGGCGUGUACGGGUCGGGGGCACCCUUUCAUCUGGAGCCAGGAUGGGGGGUGCUCGUCUGGCCUGGACUUGCCAGGCUGGCUGGAGACCCUGUUUGGUGUCCAGGUGCCGUCCUGGGGCCCAGCCUCUGAGGUGGCGGUGAGGCUUAGGGGUUGGCGGACUGUGAUUCUCCGAAUUUCAAGGUCAUUUGUCAUCAUCCGUCCACGUGGGCCCAGGGCUCUGUCAACCCCCUGGAGAAGCCGCUUGAAAUGACAGCCAAGAACAGGGCCCCCACUGGCUCUUCUUGACCUCCAAGGCCCCCAGGUACCUAAGGCAGUAAACCCCCAACUCCCUGGAAGGGCCCACUGGGCGCUCACUUCGCUCCAGAGCCUCGCCUGGUUUCCGCUUCGGGAUCCGGUCACCCAACCCAGCUCUCCAGUUGCUGCUGUUUCUCGUGAGACUGUCAGAGUGAAGGGGUCCAAAGCUCCGACUUCCAGCCUCAGAAAUCCCAACUCAGGCAGGAUCAGCGAAGCGUCCCUCGCAGUGGCUGGAGGGAGAGCCAGGCGGGGCCCAGGCUGCCACUUAUCAGGGCUGUAAAUGCCACCCUGAGGCCCACGCCUGCCAACACUGCUCCCCACAAGACUAAGUCCUGCAGCCUCAGCCCAGAAGGACCCGCGCCUACCCCCACACGGAGGUCAUGUUCAGCCACACCCCAGUGAACCCUGGCGACCCACCCCACAGUGCCCUGCCCUCCCGUGCUCCUCUCUCCUGACCUCUGUGCACGCUGCUCCCUUGACAGAAGCGUCCCCCCUCCCUUGCUAUGCAGGAUUCAGAGGACAGCGUCUGUCCCCAGCUGCAGCACGGUAACGGGCACACACAUUAAGAUAGUAAGAGAUGUCCGCUGACGGCCACCAGCUUCCCAGCAGGCUCAGAGAAGUUACUGGAGUUGGAGCUGGGUGACAGCGUGCACAGGCCCAAGCAUGGGAUCCACCCAGUUCCUGGGAACUACGUCCCUCUGCGUUUCUGCCCAACAAGCUUCCCUUCAUGAAGCCCAUGAAACUGAACUCAUGCUGUGCGGCUGCAAUGUCUCGCUACUGUUAAGGAGGACAGUGAAGUAUUUUGGGAUACACAUUCGCUUUUAAUAAAAAAGAAAUUUCCUCCUACAA
rnacentral:lncRNA from 1 species